GACGUAGGGUGCGAGCGUUGUCCGGAUUUAUUGGGCGUAAAGAGCUCGUAGGCGGCUUGUCGCGUCGACCGUGAAAACUUGGGGCUCAACCCCAAGCCUGCGGUCGAUACGGGCAGGCUAGAGUUCGGUAGGGGAGACUGGAAUUCCUGGUGUAGCGGUGAAAUGCGCAGAUAUCUGGAGGAACACCGGUGGCGAAGGCGACGUCCUGGACCGGCAUUGACGCUGAGGCGCGAAAGCCAGGGGAGCAAAGCGGG
rnacentral:rRNA from 1 species